CCUACGGGGGGCAGCAGUGAGGAAUAUUGGUCAAUGGACGAGAGUCUGAACCAGCCAAGUAGCGUGAAGGAUGACUGCCCUAUGGGUUGUAAACUUCUUUUAUAUGGGAAUAAAAUGUUCCACGUGUGGGAUUUUGUAUGUACCAUAUGAAUAAGGAUCGGCUAACUCCGUGCCAGCAGCCGCGGUAAUACGGAGGAUCCGAGCGUUAUCCGGAUUUAUUGGGUUUAAAGGGAGCGUAGGUGGAUUGUUAAGUCAGUUGUGAAAGUUUGCGGCUCAACCGUAAAAUUGCAUUUGAAACUGGCAGUCUUGAGUACAGUAGAGGUGGGCGGAAUGCGUGGUGUAGCGGUGAAAUGCUUAGAGAUCACGAAGAACUCCGAUUGCGAAGGCAGCUCACUGGACUGCAACUGACACUGAGGCUCGAAAGUGUGGGUAGCAAACAGGAUUAGAUACCCCAGUAGUC
rnacentral:rRNA from 1 species